rnacentral:tRNA from 1 species
UUUAUAGUGGCAGAAUAAUAUGCAAUGAAUUUAAGAUUCUUUUAUAAAUAAAAUUUCUAUAAAA